UAGGAGUGAUGAUGCUGAGAAAUGGUUUCGCUUCAUGAGCUGAUGUCAUUUGAUGUCACCCUUUCUCUUGGCUGUCGGCCUG